rnacentral:rRNA from 1 species
GAUCUUCGGAUCUAGUGGCGCACGGGUGCGUAACGCGUGGGAAUCUGCCCUUUGCUUCGGAAUAACAGUGAGAAAUUACUGCUAAUACCGGAUGAUGUCUUCGGACCAAAGAUUUAUCGGAAAGGAUGAGCCCGCGUAGGAUUAGGUAGUUGGUGGGGUAAUGGCCUACCAAGCCGACGAUCCUUAGCUGGUCUGAGAGGAUGAUCAGCCACACUGGGACUGAGACACGGCCCAGACUCCUACGGGAGGCAGCAGUGGGGAAUAUUGGACAAUGGGCGAAAGCCUGAUCCAGCAAUGCCGCGUGAGUGAUGAAGGCCUUAGGGUUGUAAAGCUCUUUUACCAGGGAUGAUAAUGACAGUACCUGGAGAAUAAGCUCCGGCUAACUCCGUGCCAGCAGCCGCGGUAAUACGGAGGGAGCUAGCGUUGUUCGGAAUUACUGGGCGUAAAGCGCGCGUAGGCGGUUACUCAAGUCAGAGGUGAAAGCCCGGGGCUCAACCCCGGAACUGCCUUUGAAACUAGGUGACUAGAAU